UGUAGGACGAGUAAACACAUUAGCCGUCGGAUGCGUUUACUUAAAAUGGAAGAAAAGAUACCUCAAGGCAAGGUUCUCCCAGAACCGGUCUGUCUAUACUGAGGAAAGGUGUGAGAAGGCGCAGUAAAAGAAAGAAAAAAAAAAAAAAACAGGCCUGUUUGAGUUUCAGGGUUUAGGGUUGUUAUAGUG